rnacentral:rRNA from 1 species
ACAAAAACAUGUCCUUUUGAUUUUAUUUAAGGUCUGGUCUGCCCAAUGAUUUUAUUUAAUGGCCGCGGUAUUUUAACUGUGCUAAGGUAGCAUAAUCAUUUGUCUUUUAAUUGAGGGCUGGAAUGAAUGGCUGGAUGAGGCAUAAUCUUUCUUUGACUUAAUUUAUGAAUUUAAUUUUUUAGUUAAAAAGCUAGAAUUUAUUUGCUGGACGAGAAGACCCUAUAGAUCUUUAUAUUUAAUGGUUGUUUUUAUAAUUUGGUUAUUUUAUUAUUUUGAUUAAUCUGAGUAUUUGGUUGGGGUGACUUUAGAAUUUCAUUAACUUCUAUUUUUUACUUUUUCAUUUAUUUAUGUUUUUAUGAUCCAUUAAUUAUGAUUAUAAGAUUAAGUUACCUUAGGGAUAACAGCGUAAUUUCUUUGGAGAGUUCAUAUCGAUAAAGAAGUUUGCGACCUCGAUGUUGGAUUAAAAUAAGUGAUAUAUGCAGUAGUCUAUUAACUAGGUCUGUUCGACCUUUUAAUUUUUACAUGAUCUGAGUUC